rnacentral:lncRNA from 1 species
GUACAUAUUAAAUUUAACUAUAGAGGCUAGUGAUUAGCAUGUGUGAAGCCCUGGGUUUAAUUCCCAGCGCAAAGGGAAAAAAGAGUUGAAGAAGAAUUAGAUAAUAUAGAGGGAGAGGCAAAAACUAUCUUUAUAGCACUGUUAUGGAGUAAAAAGCCAGAGAAAUUAUCACUUUUCCCCCAAAUUAUAAGAAAGUACUAUGGAGAUAAACCAAUUCUUCACAUAGGUUUGAUAAAGAAAUAAGUAUUUAGAAGAUAAUUUACAGGUUACAGUAUCUUUUCAUACAUGGCCAUCUUCAGAGUGUUCCCAUGAUAUAGGUGUCAUUUUCUUGUCUUAACAGAAUAAAAACUAAUGUUCCUAGAGGUCAUAAUUAGCCCCCAAAACAAGUUUCAAAUAUAGGUUUUGCUGAAGUUUUGCAUGGUAAGAGGAAAAGAUCUGUGCUUUGGCAUCAUACAUACAUGGGUUUGGUGCCUGGUACUGUUCAGUAUUGUGCUACUUUAUUUCUUAAAAUUUUCUCACGGGGACAGGGAUUUAGCUCAGUGGUUUCGUCGCCUGCUGUGCAAGUGCAAGGACCUGAGUUUGAUUCCCGGUACCAAAAAAAAAAUUUUCUCUCAAUUGAACCCCAUUGACUUUCAGUUUCAUCAUCAGCAAAAUGGCAGUGUCCACCCUUAUAAAGUCAACAUUGGAUACAGAGAGAGAUUAAAAUGGCAGAGUACAGACCAGCAGCAAAUUACAGCCUUUUUGGGACCUAGAAUUGAGACAUCUACAAAAACAGAAACUUAGCGAAGAGAAAAAUAAAUAGCCCUUCAGGAAUCAAGUAAGAAAACUAGAAACCACAAAGAAACUAGUGAAACUGAGGACAACACAGAGAAAAGAACUAAGCAGUCUGGAAGACCAACUCCAGCUCCCGGGAAGGAGGUCCUGUGUCUGCAAGCACAAGUGGUGCUGUGGAUCAAGCCCCCAGAAGAAGGUUGGACACUAACUAGACUCUCAAACAUUACUCUGAAUAGGUUGAAGAGGGGUUUAAACACCAUAUCAUCAAAGACAGAAUCUAAAAAGAUCUCCAUGGUAACAGAAUUUCUCUACCCUAACAGAUCCUCACCCCACAGUGCAAAAAAAUAGAAACAUGAGAAAGUAAGGCAACAAGAUACCUCCAAAAACUCCUACCUACACAAAAGCUGAUCUCAGGAACCCUGAAGUAGAGGAAACUAUAAGCAAAAAACUCAAAACCCAAAUGGUUAAAAUGUUUGAAGAGAUAAAAAGAAGAAACAUACAGGUAUUCCUUGUUUAACAACCUACCUAUUAGGACUUACAACCCACCACUUGGACUUAUGAUCCAUGUCUUUUUGUACAGUUCUAUACAUCAUUAUAGAGCCUCAAUGGUUUUUUUUGUUGUACAGUACACCGUGUUUAUACAGCACUAUAAUUUUUGCUGAAUGUACUGCG